UACGAAGGGGGCUAGCGUUGCUCGGAAUUAUUGGGCGUAAAGAGCUCGUAGGCGGUUUGUCGCGUCUGCCGUGAAAGUCCGGGGCUCAACUCCGGAUCUGCGGUGGGUACGGGCAGACUAGAGUGAUGUAGGGGAGACUGGAAUUCCUGGUGUAGCGGUGAAAUGCGCAGAUAUCAGGAGGAACACCGAUGGCGAAGGCAGGUCUCUGGGCAUUAACUGACGCUGAGGCGCGAAAGCUAGGGGAGCAAACAGG
rnacentral:rRNA from 1 species